rnacentral:rRNA from 1 species
AACAAGUGCAAACGGUGGAUGCCUCGGCACCAAAAGACGAAGAAGGACGUUGCAGGGUGCGAUAAGCCUCGGGUAGGUCCCAAGCAACCUUUGACCCGGGGAUUUCCGAAUGGGGAAACCCACUCCGACUUGAUCGGAGUAUUAUAUACUGAAUUCAUAGGUAUAUAAAGAAGACCUAGCGAAGUGAAACAUCUCAGUAGCUAGAGGAAAAUAAAUCGAAGAGAUUCCCCCAGUAGUGGCGAGCGAAAAGGGAACAGCCUAAAUCAUAUAAAUGUUGUUAUAUUAAUUCUUAGUGGAAUGUCUCUGGAAUGAGCAACCAUAGCAGGUGAUAGUCCUGUACGCGAAAAGAAUUAGUCAUUCAUGGCUUAUAUUCUUGAGUAGGGCGGAACUCGUGAAAUUCCGUCUGAAUCUGGGCCGACUAUGGUCUAAGGCUAAAUACUUUUGGUGAUCGAUAGUGAACAAGUACCGCGAGGGAAAGGUGAAAAGUAGCCCGGUGAGGGCGAUGAAAUAGUAUCUGAAACCGUUUGCUUACAAAGAGCCGGAGCCCGCAAGGGUGACGGUAUUCCUAUUGAAGAAUGAGCCUGCGAGUAUAUGUGUGUCGUUUGCUUAAGGGCCUAUGGUCCGAAGGCGUAGCGAAAGCGAGUCUUAACGGGCGUUUAUGGCACGUAUAUAACCCGAAACCGGGUGAGCUAUCCAUGGUCAGGAUGAGUCUUUUCGAAAGAAAAGAGGAGGUCCGAACUCACGCACCGUGCAACAUGCGGAGAUGAACUGUGGAUGGGAGAGAAAUUCUAAUCGAACUCGGUGAUAGCUGGUUUUCCUCGAAAUAGCUUUAGGGCUAGCCUUGUAUGAUCCCACUGGUGGUAGAGCACUGGAUGAGAAUUGGGUCCUUCGGGAUACCGUUUUCAAUCAAACUCCGAAUGCCAGUGAUUAUAAUACAGGAGUCAGACAGUGACGGCUAAGCGCCAUUGUCAAAAGGGAAACAGCCCAGAUCGCAAUCUAAGGUCCCUAAAUUCAUGUUAAGUGUCAAAGGUGGUGUUAAUUCUUAUACAACCAGGAGGUUUGCUUAGAAGCAGCAAUCCUUUAAAGAAAGCGUAACAGCUCACUGGUCAAGAGUUUUCGCGCCG